GGAGGGAGAGUGAUCAGGCUGUGAUAUGUGUCACACCAUUGAUUGCCUGGGUUGAUUCGGCUGAUCUAGCUGGUGAGGUGAGUAUCCCCUUAGUCCCUCAAUGCUCCAUGUGCGUUCCUCCCUAAACUGUGUGCUCAGUCGAAGAAGAGGAUGAUCACUCCCAAAAGAGGGGUCCAUUCCUUGGUUGAAGACACAAGAGUAGCUGCACCCCCUGCUAGAACCUCCAAACAAGCUCUCAAGAGGUAAGCAAGAGAGGGUCAAUGGGUUCUACCUUUCUCU
rnacentral:snRNA from 1 species